UACGUAGGGUCCGAGCGUUGUCCGGAAUUACUGGGCGUAAAGAGCUCGUAGGUGGUUUGUCGCGUUGUUCGUGAAAACUCACAGCUUAACUGUGGGCGUGCGGGCGAUACGGGCAGACUGGAGUACUGCAGGGGAGACUGGGAAUUCCUGGUGUAGCGGUGGAAUGCGCAGAUAUCAGGGAGGGAACACCGGUGGCGAAGGCGGGUCUCUGGACAGUUCC
rnacentral:rRNA from 1 species